ensembl:snRNA U6 U6 spliceosomal RNA
GUGCUCGCUUCGGCAGUACACAUACUAAAACUGGAAUGAUACAGAGAAGAUUAUCAUGGCCCUUGCGCAAGGAUGACAUGCAAAUUCAUGAAGUGUUUCAUAUUUUU